UCCUCUGAUUUGGUUGACUCUGUUAUGG
rnacentral:piRNA from 1 species